rnacentral:rRNA from 1 species
CCCUUAGAUGUUCUGGGCCGCACGCGCGCUACACUGAUGCAUUCAACGAGCCUAGCCUUGACCGAGAGGUCCGGGUAAUCUUCGAAACUGCAUCGUGAUGGGGCUAGAUUAUUGCAAUUAUUAAUCUUCAACGAGGAAUGCCUAGUAAGCGUGAUUCAUCAAAUCGCGUUGAUUACGUCCCUGCCCUUUGUACACACCGCCCGUCGCUCCUACCGAUUGAGUGUGUUGGUGAGGAGUUUGGAUUGGCCUCGGAAGGUGGUUCGCCACCGUCCGUAGCUGAGAAGUUCUCCAAACCGCCCCACUUAGAGGAAGGAGAAGUCGUAACA